rnacentral:rRNA from 1 species
UACGGGGGGGGCAAGCGUUGUUCGGAAUUACUGGGCGUAAAGGGCUCGUAGGCGGCCAACUAAGUCGGAUGUGAAAUCCCUGGGCUCAACCCAGGAACUGCGUCCGAUACUGGUUGGCUUGAAUCCGGGAGAGGGAUGUGGAAUUCCAGGUGUAGCGGUGAAAUGCGUAGAUAUCUGGAGGAACACCGGUGGCGAAGGCGACAUCCUGGACCGGUAUUGACGCUGAGGCGCGAAAGCCAGGGGAGCAAACGGG